rnacentral:misc_RNA from 1 species
UCCGAGUUGACCCCGGCAGUCUCCUAUGAGUCCCCGGCAUAACCCGCUGGCAACAUAGAACGAGGGUUGCGCUCGUUGCGGGACUUAACCCAACAUCUCACGACACGAGCUGACGACAACCAUGCACCACCUGUGUACCGACCUUGCGGGGAGCACAUCUCUGCACUUUUCCGGCACAUGUCAAGCCUUGGUAAGGUUCUUCGCGUUGCAUCGAAUUAAUCCGCAUGCUCCGCCGCUUGUGCGGGCCCCCGUCAAUUCCUUUGAGUUUUAGCCUUGCGGCCGUACUCCCCAGGCGGGGAACUUAAUGCGUUAGCUGCGGCACGGACCUCGUGGAAUGAGGCCCACACCUAGUUCCCAACGUUUACGGCAUGGACUAC